rnacentral:lncRNA from 1 species
UGAGUGUGAUUCUUCCUUAUAUUUUGAAGGCUAUGUAGAUUCAGCUCUAAAGAAUUUAGUGGAGCUAAGCCAGAAUUGGAAGAGGGAUAUUAUUUGAGUUUUCUCUUUCUCUAUAAAUGUUCCCCCACUGCCUCUAUCGUUAUGGUGGGUGUUGUAAUCCCAGCUACUCAGGAGGCUGAAGCAGAGAAUUGUUUGAACCUGGGAGGCAGAGGUUGCAGUGAGCUGAGAUCGCCCCACUGUACUCCAGCCUGGGAGACAGAAGAUAAGAGCUUGUCAUCAACUCUGGGGAAAUGUUCUUCUGAGUUACAUAAAAUAUUUGACACUUAGUAAGGGCAUACUUAAUAUUUUAGGUUGUAGCAGUGCGAAUGAAAAGUACAAGGACCCAAAAUACUAAAAAAGUAUCAGUAUAUAAUCUUAAUAUAUAUUAAGAUUAUAAAUUAUAUGUAUAUAUAAUUAUAUACAAGAUUAUAUAUUAAGAUUAAAAUUAGUUUAAUAUAAAUUUACUUUAUAAAACUGAAUGACUUUACAUUUAAAAGCCUAUUUCAUAAGAAACUGGCACUCUUUCAGGUAUUAAUAUCUAAUAUACAGAUGGUAGACAAAUGAGGUGAGUUACUUAACAGGUUAGCGUUAGUCAUUAAUUGCUUU